rnacentral:rRNA from 1 species
AGUAGUGGGGGAUAACUAUCGGAAAGGAUAGCUAAUACCGCAUACGUUCUGUGGAAGAAAGCAGGGGAUCUUCGGACCUUGUGCUAUUGGAAGAGCCUAGAUCGGAUUAGCUAGUUGGUGAGGUAAAAGCUUACCAAGGCGACGAUCAGUAGCUGGUCUGAGAGGAUGAUCAGCCACACUGGAACUGAGACACGGUCCAGACUCCUACGGGAGGCAGCAGUGGGGAAUUUUGGACAAUGGGGGCAACCCUGAUCC